AACAAGGUUUCCGUAGGUGAGACUGCGGAAGGAUCAUUA
rnacentral:rRNA from 1 species